rnacentral:rRNA from 1 species
UGGGGAAUAUUGGACAAUGGGGGCAACCCUGAUCCAGCAAUGCCGCGUGUGUGAAGAAGGUUUUCGGAUUGUAAAGCACUUUCGGCGGGGACGAUGAUGACGGUACCCGCAGAAGAGGCCCCGGCUAACUUCGUGCCAGCAGCCGCGGUAAUACGAAGGGGGCUAGCGUUGCUCGGAAUGACUGGGCGUAAAGGGCGUGUAGGCGGUUUGUACAGUCAGAUGUGAAAUCCCCGGGCUUAACCUGGGAGCUGCAUUUGAUACGUGCAGACUAGAGUGUGAGAGAGGGUUGUGGAAUUCCCAGUGUAGAGGUGAAAUUCGUAGAUAUUGGGAAGAACACCGGUGGCGAAGGCGGCAACCUGGCUCAUGACUGACGCUGAGGCGCGAAAGCGUGGGGAGCAAACAGGAUUAGAUACCCUGGUAGUCCACGCUGUAAACGAUGUGUGCUGGAUGUUGGGCAACUUAGUUGUUCAGUGUCGUAGCUAACGCGAUAAGCACACCGCCUGGGGAGUACGGCCGCAAGGUUGAAA